GGGCCUAACGUGCCUCCAAAACGCAUGCAUGUUCGGCGGCCGAACUUGACUUUCGGCGGCCGAACCUGGGUUUUCCUCCAAAGACUUUUCAUGCAAAAACUCAUUAAAUUUUCAUACUUAAAACCAUGAAAUACCUUAAAACAUUUUAUGAAAACAUGUUUCUACCCUACUAGAGGCUUCCGACAUCCGAGAUUCCACCGGACGGUAGGAAUUCCGAUACCGGAGUCUAGCCGGG
rnacentral:lncRNA from 1 species